rnacentral:rRNA from 1 species
AGGACGAACGCUGGCGGCGUGCUUAACACAUGCAAGUCGAACGGUGAAGCCUUUCGGGGUGGAUCAGUGGCGAACGGGUGAGUAACACGUGAGUAAUCUGCCCUUGACUCUGGGAUAACUUCGGGAAACCGUGGCUAAUACCGGAUAUGACGCAUGGUCGCAUGGUCUGUGUGUGGAAAGAUUUAUUGGUCAGGGAUGAGCUCACGGCCUAUCAGCUUGUUGGUGGGUAAUGGCCUACCAAGGCGACGACGGGUA